AUGUGCUAUUCCCUCAUACUUAAUGUUUUGAAACCAUUAGCUUUUAUUGUUCUAGUUAUUUUUUACAAAAUGUGCUAUUCCCUCAUACUUAAUGUUUUGAAUGGAUGCCAAUUUCACCAUGAUCAGACUAACUAUAUAAAACUAAUUAUAACAACCCCGCCAAAAAAACUAAAAAAAUCAAGCAAGUCACCUUGGCAUGAGGAGAAUCUGUUUAGUUUAAUAAAGCAGACUUUAGUGCUGCCUUGUGUUCCAACAAGGCAUGAGAUUACAGUGAAAACAUGUUCACAGGAACACCGAACUGCUUCGGUUGUUCUCGAGUCAGAGAAUGNNNNNNNNNNUUAUUUGAUCAUUAAACUAUGUGAAAAUCAAUGACUAAACUGACUAUGGUACAUAUGGAAGAUCUUAAUUUGAUCACUUUGUUGCAGGAGAACUUUGCUGCAAUGCAGGAAAUGUAAAACUUGCAGUGUAUUUCAGGUUUGAAAUGUCCAAUUACGAAAAAUGUAUCAGCCCCUACAAAAAGAUCCACUAAUUGUAAUCCACAUAAUUCCUGUUGCUGCAGGACCAUCCUCAUGCUGUAGCAAACCGGCUCAAAUUACGAUCCUACAUCUGUAUAUACUGAUGAUACAGUAGUUAAAUGUAUGUGUGUAAUGUAUGAAAUAAAAAAAAGGCUCAUCAGUAACAGAAAGCACUCCAAAUGCAAAACCCAGUUCAGCAUUAGAGGUGAGGUGGAGAUGGUGAAUGCCAAGACAGCAGUGGAACAUUAGGUUCAUUCUACAUAGGCAAAUUGAGAAGCAAACAGGUCUGAACAGUGUUUCGUACCACUUUAUAGAGCCUUUACUCCCAACUCCAAUGUUAUUUCAGAACAACAAAACUACAACAUAUCUAGCAGUCACACAGUGGUCCCAGCUACUGUAUAACAAACACCCACUUAAACAUGCUUUGGGAAAAUAUUCCCCUCAGGUCUGACAUGAAAUAUCCAAAAUGCCUUCCAACCUCCUUAUGCCUGUUGAUACCCAGUUGCUAGGUGCAAACUAAGAGCAAAUCUCUUGUUGCGGUGGAUUAGUGCCUACAGGUCCAACCUGUCAUUUAGACACAGUGGCCUCAGCUGUUGAUAUUGCACCAUAGCAUCUGAUAGAAGAGGCUGCAGCAGGAGGAACACCAAGGACACUGUCCUCUUGGUGUCUGCCUGGUGGGCUAUAGUGAAGGGAGCCCACUAACAAUAGAACAGCCACUUACUGUCUAUCAUUGACUAAUAUAAUCCAAUUUAGACUUUUCUACACUGCCAAAAAAAUAGGAGAUUGGAUCAAAUCAAUGGCUCAUCGUGUGGUGCCUGGUGUUUCUUACUAGCAGUGCUGUCAAUCUCAUUACAAUGACUGAAGGCCUAUGGAGGAGGAUGAGGUGGAGAGUGUGUGGAGUGGGACUGGAUUAUUUUGAAAUCAAAAGUAGCUGAGAAUAAGUAGUUUCACACCCUCCAAACCCAAUCAAGUCGCACCUCGCUCUCUUUUUUUGUGCUUUGAAACAAACAGAAAACUAAAAAACGGCUACCAAAACUCAAACCAGCCACACACAAAUCAUAUUCAAGUCAAUAGAACACCUAUCAUCACACACAUUGUAUAGACGCACUGUACAGCUAAAUCCGACAAAACCAAGAAUCAACGUUGUCCAAGUCAUUGAUCGUAUUUAUAAAAAAUAAACAUUUUAAAAAAACUACUCGCAACUUAAAGGAGAAACACACUAGAUUGUAUUGGGGGAGUGAUAUCAGUGAUAUGGUUACAUUAGGAAAACAAUCUGCUUUAUAAGUAAGCAGUGUUUCGUCUUGUAUUGACAACACUUUAGGAAUGAAUUCAUCUUUGAAAUGAGGGUUGAGAGCCCGUGAAGGUCAUACAUAGAGCAGGCCUGUCAGAUAUCUUUCUGCAUCUCCAUGCUGUAAGGAGGCGCUGUCCAGAGCAUCUGGCGUCGUAUAGAUCCAAGUGGAUAGAGAUAUCCAUGUAUUAUUAACACGGAACUAUCAGAGUUGCAUGAUAUGGUUCCUGUGUUGAUCACGAUUGUGUCCGUCGUUCACUUGAGAUCUUGAGCUGCAGUAUGUCCGAUGAGGUUGGUCUACUAUUAGAGGAGUGGGGGGGGGAAACAGCUACAAUGUUCAUUAAGUACACACACAACCAUAUACAGUAAGUAACACUUGAUUGCAACAUCUAUGGAGUGUGUUUAGUUAACAUGUCAAAAAAGGCAAGACCAAAUCAAAAUCCAUAAUAAUAAUAAUGUAAAUCAACAGCAGACGCUGGCUUUCCUAACGUUAUGGAAAUGUUUGGAAAACCUCACCAGGCAUCAGAUCAUCAACGGUAUAAUAAUUCCACCAAGAUGACUCUCCCACUCUCCAAUAAGGGGUCCUGGAGCCCAAGGAGAAGCCAUUUGGAACACCAAAAGGUCCAAGGGAUACAGGAGGAGGUUGUGCAAAUUUCAUUUUUGGAGAGAGGUUGUGGGCCAAAUUGGAUGUCAAACGAAUAGAUGAGUGUUUGCAAUAUGUCAGAAACUCCAACUACCCAACCAGAGGGUAUGGAGCUAAUGACAUCCAGCUGAUACCUUCCAGUCAAUAGAAGAAUAUGUUCAAGGGAUCAGAUUGGAAUUGGGCCCACCUCUACACCUUUUCUUGCUUCACUGUAUGUGCUGAUGAUGACAUCACUGAUUCUCCUCCCAUCUGCUGUAUUCUUUACAUUUGCGCUCAAACAGCCAAUCAGUGGAGACACCAUGCAAUAUUAACAUGCAGCACGGCAGCCAAUGAGAGACAAGCACAAAGUGAUGUAGGAAACAUGUCAUAAGACAGGCGCUGACUACAACCCCUAAACCACGAAAGGUCAAGCACAUCUUUUACAGACCCCCCC
rnacentral:lncRNA from 13 species